AUUGAACGCUUGCGGCAGGCCUAACACAUGCAAGUCGAGCGGUAGCACAGAGAGCUUGCUCUCGGGUGACGAGCGGCGGACGGGUGAGUAAUGUCUGGGAAACUGCCUGAUGGAGGGGGAUAACUACUGGAAACGGUAGCUAAUACCGCAUAACGUCGCAAGACCAAAGUGGGGGACCUUCGGGCCUCAUGCCAUCAGAUGUGCCCAGAUGGGAUUAGCUAGUAGGUGGGGUAAUGGCUCACCUAGGCGACGAUCCCUAGCUGGUCUGAGAGGAUGACCAGCCACACUGGAACUGAGACACGGCCCAGACUCCUACGGGAGGCAGCAGUGGGGAAUAUUGCACAAUGGGCGCAAGCCUGAUGCAACCAUGCCGCGUGUGUGAAGAAGGCCUUCGGGUUGUAAAGCACUUUCAGCGGGGAGGAAGGCGGUGAGGUUAAUAACCUCAUCGAUUGACGUUACCCGCAGAAGAAGCACCGGCUAACUCCGUGCCAGCAGCCGCGGUAAUACGGAGGGUGCAAGCGUUAAUCGGAAUUACUGGGCGUAAAGCGCACGCAGGCGGUCUGUCAAGUCGGAUGUGAAAUCCCCGGGCUCAACCUGGGAACUGCAUUCGAAACUGGCAGGCUAGAGUCUUGUAGAGGGGGGUAGAAUUCCAGGUGUAGCGGUGAAAUGCGUAGAGAUCUGGAGGAAUACCGGUGGCGAAGGCGGCCCCCUGGACAAAGACUGACGCUCAGGUGCGAAAGCGUGGGGAGCAAACAGGAUUAGAUACCCUGGUAGUCCACGCCGUAAACGAUGUCGAUUUGGAGGUUGUGCCCUUGAGGCGUGGCUUCCGGAGCUAACGCGUUAAAUCGACCGCCUGGGGAGUACGGCCGCAAGGUUAAAACUCAAAUGAAUUGACGGGGGCCCGCACAAGCGGUGGAGCAUGUGGUUUAAUUCGAUGCAACGCGAAGAACCUUACCUGGUCUUGACAUCCACAGAACUUUCCAGAGAUGGAUUGGUGCCUUCGGGAACUGUAAGACAGGUGCUGCAUGGCUGUCGUCAGCUCGUGUUGUGAAAUGUUGGGUUAAGUCCCGCAACGAGCGCAACCCUUAUCCUUUGUUGCCAGCGGUCCGGCCGGGAACUCAAAGGAGACUGCCAGUGAUAAACUGGAGGAAGGUGGGGAUGACGUCAAGUCAUCAUGGCCCUUACGACCAGGGCUACACACGUGCUACAAUGGCAUAUACAAAGAGAAGCGACCUCGCGAGAGCAAGCGGACCUCAUAAAGUAUGUCGUAGUCCGGAUUGGAGUCUGCAACUCGACUCCAUGAAGUCGGAAUCGCUAGUAAUCGUAGAUCAGAAUGCUACGGUGAAUACGUUCCCGGGGCU
rnacentral:rRNA from 1 species